GGUCAGGAUGAACGCUGGCGGCGUGCUUAACACAUGCAAGUCGAACGAAGCAAAUUCUUGCUGCAAGAAAUUGACUUAGCGGCGGACGGGUGAGUAACGCGUGGGUAACCUGCCUCAUACAGGGGGAUAACAGUUGGAAACGACUGCUAAGACCGCAUAACCCGCUAGUGUCGCAUGACACGGACGGAAAAUAUUUAUAGGUAUGAGAUGGGCCCGCGUCUGAUUAGCUAGUUGGUAAGGUAACGGCUUACCAAGGCGACGAUCAGUAGCCGACUUGAGAGAGUGAUCGGCCACAUUGGGACUGAGACACGGCCCAAACUCCUACGGGAGGCAGCAGUGGGGAAUAUUGGACAAUGGGGGGAAACCCUGAUCCAGCCGGACGCCGCGUGAGUGAAGAAGUAUUUCGGUAUGUAAAGCUCUAUCAGCAGGGAAGAUAAUGACAGUACCUGACUAAGAAGCCCCGGCUAACUACGUGCCAGCCGCCGC
rnacentral:rRNA from 1 species